UACGGAGGGUGCGAGCGUUGUCCGGAAUCACUGGGCGUAAAGGGCGCGUAGGCGGCCUGAUAAGUAGGGGGUGAAAUCCUGCGGCUUAACCGCAGGGCUGCCUUCUAAACUGUCAGGCUAGAGCACAGUAGAGGCAGGUGGAAUUCCCGGUGUAGCGGUGGAAUGCGUAGAGAUCGGGAAGAACAUCAGUGGCGAAGGCGGCUUCCUGGACACCAACUGACGCUGAGACGCGAAAGCGUGGGGAGCAAACAGG
rnacentral:rRNA from 1 species